UACGUAGGAGGCGAGCGUUGUCCGGAAUUACUGGGCGUAAAGCGCGCGUAGGCGGUUUUUCGCGUAGGCGGUAAAAGCCCCCGGCUUACCCGGGGGAGGUCCGUCUAAACGGGGAAACUGGAGGGCGGUAGGGGCUGGCGGAACGCCCGGAGUAGCGGUGAAAUGCGUUGAGAUCGGGCAGAACACCAGUGGCGAAGGCGGCCGGCUGGGCCGACCCUGACGCUGAGGCGCGAAAGCCAGGGGAGCGAACGGA
rnacentral:rRNA from 1 species